rnacentral:lncRNA from 1 species
UUUCAUACUGCUGUUGAUGAUGUGAAUUUUGGAAAUAUUCUCCCCUAUUGGGUCUUUCUCCAUGACAGAUGAUGUCCUUUGGCUUCGGUUUUUUGCCUAAGAACUGCUGGAGUGCAGUGGUGCACACGCCUCACACUGUGACACAGCGGGAGAGCCCAGAGCGACAGCUGUUGGAAUGACUGCACUCUUCCUGCUCAAGUCUGACCUUUCCAAGGUAAUGGUGCUCAGAAAAAGAAGCCAAUCAGGAGAUCUGUUUUCUGUGCCCUUUUAACACUUCUAACUCAGGCACCCAAACCAGCCUGUAGCAGAAAGAGCAUCAAAGCCAUCCUCUGGACUCUACACAAGCCUUUGUCCUAUGUCUGGAGACUUCUUGGAAGCUGGAGCACACAAAUAGCUACAGCAAACUUGAGGAAUGGGCAUGAAUAGACUGGCUUCGGGGAACCUGCCAGCUUGGCCGUGUGGCCAAGGUAAUAGGCAAGCCAAGGCAGAGCUAGAGCUCAGAGCUGGAGGGGAAAUUAAAGCAGCAAAUGUAGAAACAUUAAGCCUGAAGAGGCGACGACGUUGAAUUCUAAAAUGCAGGCCAAAGCUCAGACUGCAAGCUGUCUGGCUGCUCCGGGUGUGCCCAGAAGUCAAAGUCCAGCAGGGGCAAAGGUGGAGGUGUGGUCCUGCACGUGGGGUGUUGGGGGGAUGUGGAAGAGGAGGUGCUUUAAGAUCCAGAGAUUCCAGCUGCCCUGGUGCACCCUUGGAAGAAUAAAAGGCUAGGAACUGGACAAGUCAGGCUCGAGUCCAAGCUGCCUGAGGAAUCGGGGAAAGAAUGGAGCUCAGAGUGGGAGGUCAGGGCAGUAUUUAAAAAUCCAGGAUAGCAGCAAAGCUGGCGGUGGCCCCUGACUCUGGUAAGGGCAGCCUGCAGCACCAUGCCAAGGGGGGCCUGACUGAUCAUGCCCUGCAUUUGCAAACAAGGAUUAGUAGGGUAUGAGUAGGAUUCUGCUGGUGCCUGGGAAGGCAGUGCCAUCUACAACUUUACAAAGUUUUAACAAAGGCCUGAAGGACACAACCUUCCCCAAAGUCCUGACGUCGCUGUUUGCUGGCAACAAAUAGAGUCAAAAGAAGAGAGGCACAGAAUGUGCCAGGGGUGUGCUGCGUACAGCCCCGAUGACCACAAGGCCUUCUUGGGUCAAGUUCUGCCAUCUCUGGUUAAGAUGGGCUCACCCUCUAGGACCCUGAUUGAGUCCUCGGACCACCAAGAGUGCCCCACCAAGAGCCUCCCUCUUCUGGUGACUCGUGCCUGCUUCCCGUGGAGAGCUCCAGAAGGGAGGAAACUGUGAGGAGGUGGAGAACGUGGCAGGGAUCCUAACUUUCUUACUGAAGGAAGUUCUUCACAAGUACCCAUCUGCCUUCAGGGAAGAAAACAUAACUCAUUUUGGUCUUUCAAAUUCAGUUCUCAAAACCAAAUCCUGUUGUCAGCAAUCUGUGUCCCAACGCCUUCUUCAGCAACAGCAUUUUCCCUGUGGAAUUAGUUUCCAAUGUUCUUUCUUAAAUAAACCACUGAAGAUUAAAAGGAAUCCAGAUACCCACCACAUUUUGUUUCCUUAAUGAGUAAUUAUCACAUUUCUUUGGCUACUUAAAUGCAUUCUCUGAGUCAGGUAAAGGAGAUCGUAAUAGUUAAUCAACAAGAAGUAAUUCUUGGGUACUUAACAAUAGUCUAAGCACUUAAUCAUACUUAAAAUUGACUAUUAAUGAACCUUAUAAACCAUUUUGCAAUUCUGAAAGUGAAUUUCUCUGCAGGCUUAGAGAUUACUAAGCCAUUUAGAUCUUACCAAACAAAUAUUAUUCAUGCUUUAAUUCCUGGGAAAAGAAAUUUAGAAAAUGAGGUUAAUGUUCAGUUGUCCUUUCCUGAGUUUAACAAUUAUAUAUUCCAUCUGGGAUGCUCUGAACUCAGGUUAAACAUUCUUCAAGUUAUUCCCACAUUUUUCAAGUUAUUCCCACGUUAGUGACCUACUUUAUUAGUAUUAUUACUAAAGAAAAGGGCUGGGUGCGGUGGCCCACAUCUGUAAUCCCAGCACUUUGGGAGGCUGAAGCAGGAGGAUCACUUGAGCUUGGGAGUUCAAGACCAGCCUGAGAGGGAGACUCCGUCUCUACAAAAAAAAAAAAAUUAGCCAGGUAUGGUGGCACGCGCUCAUGGGCCCAGCUACUCAAGGAGGCUGAGGUGGGAGGAUCACGUGAACCUGGGAGGCAGAGCCUGCAGUGAGCCCUGGUUGUGCCUCUGUACUCAAGCCUGAGAGACAGAGUGAGACCCUGUCUCCAAACAAUAAAGUAAAAUAAAUAAAUAAAUAAAUAAGAAUGCAAAUCAAAGACAUUAAGAAAUAGCUUUACUUUAAUGUAGGCAUUUAAGGUAAAAUAGGUCACAUUCUCUUUUUUAAAAAAAUUACUGACCCACAGAAAAACAAGUCAAAAAGCAGACUAUUUCAUAUUAGUGUCUUUUUUUUAAAGAGGAUUAAUAUAAAUUGCCUUCUCACCUGUUUUUAAAAUAAAGGACUGAAUGAUAGAACUUAGACAACAAAUCUAGUAGCAUGAUAAAAGCCUUUCUUUGAUAGCUAGAAAAGGUAAACAAAGAAUAAAACAGGGUGAAGAAGAAAGAGGACAGAUAGAAUGUGAAUAUUAUCUACCUUUUUCUCAAGAUAAAACUAAUAUUGCUUUCUAAAAAGAAGCAAUUCUUUAGAGCAGAGGUCAGCAAACUUUUUCUAUAAAGAGCCAGAUAUUAACUAUUUUAUAAUUUGCAAACCACAUAAGUCCUCUGUUUCAUAUGGGUUUUUUUCUUUUUUCUUUUUAAACAAUACUUUAAAAAUGCUGAAAAUAUUCUUAGCUUACAUCUACAAAAAAGCAGGCAGUGGGCUGAUUUGACUCACAGGUGGUAUAGCUUGCUAAUUCCUGCUUUAGAUUUUAAGAAUGAGGCAGAUGUUGCCAGAAUUUGCUCUAAUUUACUAUGAGGUUUGCAAAUAAAAGUGCUCUUGACAUGAAAACUUGCUAUUUUUAAUGGAAAGACAUGUACAGCCCUUUCUCAGGAAGUGGAGAUUAAUGCAUAAAAUUUUAUUUUCCUAACAUAAAGCAUGUUUUUUCAAAAAAUGGCUUCUCCAUCUUGUGGCCCUUUGAUUAUGAUAGCUCUGAAAGCUUUGAAAAGCUUGCAAAUACUCAACUUCAGGAAUAAAACCACCUAUGAGACCCUCACCUGAAGGCAGGAUCUUUCCUGCAGCCUUGAGUCUUCCUAAUCAGAACCAUUGUUUCGUAAACUGGACUCCGAAGACAACACUUAAAGUCACUCAAGUUCGCUACAAAAUUCUUGUUUUGUGUUUUCAUUUCUAAAGACAAUAAAAAUAAUUGAUAUGAUCAAGUUUGGGAUUAUCUAGAUGAUCUAGACAACUAUUGCGGUCAAAAUAGGCCUGAUCACAGGCAUUUUCAGUACCCAUGGAAUUCUAGAGCUUUGGAUACUUGUCUAGUCUGUUUGGGUCACUAUAACAAAAUGCCAUAAACUGGGUGCUUAUAAAGAACAGAAUUUUAUUUCCCACAGUUCUGCAGGCUGGGAAGUCCAAAAUCGAGGCAGAUUUGAUGUCCUCAAGUGAUGGAAGAAUCAAGAGGUCUCUCUGGGGGCUCUUUUAUAAGGGCACUAACCCCAUUCAUGAGAGCAGAGCCUAAUUACCUCCCUAAGGCCCCAACUCCUAAUACUAUCACCUUGAGGGUGAGGAGGGAAACAUAAAAAUACCAUAGUAAUACUAAUAGGUACAUCAGUGAAGAACAAUAUCACAGUAUCGUGUAGACAGGAAGAUUUUGCUGCAAUUUGGUUGUUAAAACAAAAAGUCGUGGGUGGAUACAAUCAUCAGACAGUUCAGAAGUGGCAUCCACGUACUCACCCAAAGGAGGUGCACUGCAGUUGUGGGAGCCCUGUGCUUGCUACUAGCAGUGACUUAAUUUCUGCAAAGCUAUGUGAUCACAUUCAACUAUGCUAGUUAACUUUAAUUUUACUGAAUUUGGUUUAGGUAGGUAGUUUGUAAAUUUAACUUUCUACUUGUAUAAGAAGUAUAAUUAUAAAAACAGCAGGUCAGCACGACAGGUCUGAGAGAAUCUGUAUUCUGUAAAAAAAUACCUAUUUCUUACUUGGCGAAAAACAUUAGUCAAUGUUGCACCAAAAACCCCCCAAAAGCUAUAGAUCAGAUAUUGACUAAAAUGAAUAUACAAAAAUCUUGACUGGAAAUAUUUUAAGUCAAAACUAACAGCCUAUUUCAGGUAUUGACAGAACAAAUUCCAGAAGCAGAAUAACUGAAACAAUCAUGUUGAAAUUAAUUAUAAUGGGCAGAAUUUGACUGAAACUUGUUACCACCUUCACCAAAAUAUAGCCUUUCUUAUACUAUCAAAUGUAUUGAAUAAAUUGUGAGCACUUUCUUGUACAACUUCUAAAAAUUUAGCUUUGCUUUUGUUAUCUGAAUAUUGUACAGGAAUAUGAGCAUGCAAAUAAGAUCUUUGUUUAGUUUCAAGUCUUUUUAUAACUAAAUCUGCUGGCAUUAGACAAUAAAUACAUUUUCAAAAUAUGAAUAGUCUCUCAUU